GAUGAACGCUGGCGGCGUGCCUAAUACAUGCAAGUCGAGCGAACGGACGAGAAGCUUGCUUCUCUGAUGUUAGCGGCGGACGGGUGAGUAACACGUGGAUAACCUACCUAUAAGACUGGGAUAACUUCGGGAAACCGGAGCUAAUACCGGAUGAUAUUUUGAACCGCAUGGUUCAAAAGUGAAAGACGGUCUUGCUGUCACUUAUAGAUGGAUCCGCGCUGCAUUAGCUAGUUGGUAAGGUAAUGGCUUACCAAGGCAACGAUGCAUAGCCGACCUGAGAGGGUGAUCGGCCACACUGGAACUGAGACACGGUCCAGACUCCUACGGGAGGCAGCAGUAGGGAAUCUUCCGCAAUGGGCGAAAGCCUGACGGAGCAACGCCGCGUGAGUGAUGAAGGUCUUCGGAUCGUAAAACUCUGUUAUUAGGGAAGAACAUAUGUGUAAGUAACUGUGCACAUCCUGACGGUACCUAAUCAGAAAGCCACGGCUAACUACGUG
rnacentral:rRNA from 1 species